rnacentral:ncRNA from 2 species
UCCGCCCCGCUUGCAUCAGGUGCCCUCUUGCACGGCAGGUGUCGGAGGGUUGAACGGGAAGCCGGUGCGCGGCGCGUCCAGGACGCGCGGCAAUUCCGGCGCUGCCCCCGCAACGGUCGGCGAGGUGCGGUCAGCAUUGCGGCCACUGGUCCUUCGAGGACUGGGAAGGCGCUGACGGCUUCGGUCCACGGCACACGCCGUCGGACCGGCACUCGCGAGCCCGGAUACCGGCCCGAUGCCAGGGAUGCCG